rnacentral:tRNA from 1 species
UGGCUCAGUUGGUAGAGCAUGGUGUUUGCAACGCCAGGGUUGUGGGUUCAUUUCCCGC